CGUACACUCCUACGGGAGGCAGCAGUGAGGAAUAUUGGACAAUGGGUGGAAGCCUGAUCCAGCCAUCCCGCGUGCAGGAAGACGGCCCUAUGGGUUGUAAACUGCUUUUAUCUGGGGAUAAACCUACUUACGUGUAAGUAGCUGAAGGUACCAGAAGAAUAAGCACCGGCUAACUCCGUGCCAGCAGCCGCGGUAAUACGGAGGGUGCAAGCGUUAUCCGGAUUUAUUGGGUUUAAAGGGUCCGUAGGCGGACUGAUAAGUCAGUGGUGAAAUCCGACAGCUUAACUGUCGAACUGCCAUUGAUACUGUUAGUCUUGAGUAAGGUUGAAGUGGCUGGAAUAAGUAGUGUAGCGGUGAAAUGCAUAGAUAUUACUUAGAACACCAAUUGCGAAGGCAGGUCACUAAGUCUUAACUGACGCUGAUGGACGAAAGCGUGGGGAGCGAACAGGAUUAGAAACCCCGGUAGUCCCAUGAU
rnacentral:rRNA from 1 species